UAUUAACGACACAUGAACAUUAGCCGAUGAAAGAAAUAGUUUUACCGAUAAUAGAAAUAAUUUUCCACUAAAAAUCGCUAAUUGAAACCAAUCUUAUCAUUUUACCUUUCCCUCCAAUUCUUUUUCAUAACAUUUUGAUAUUCCCUCCACUUAUUAAGAAAAAAUAAAAGGAAAACCUAGCCCAAAAUUCAAUUUUAGCUGCGCAUCGUAGACUAAAGCAACUGUUCUCUCUCUGAAACUCACGGUCGCCGCAGCUGUUCUCUCUCUGAAACUGAGGUCGCCGACCAGCCAUCUUCUUUGCAACAAUGUUGAUUUUGGGUUUCAAGAUUGUUGCUGACAUCAGUCUUCUCCUUCACUUUUUUGUCUUCAUCGGCAAAAUAUUCUGCUUCUCAGAUGAUAUCUUUGAGCUAUGCAGUCAGAAUUACUCCAAAUGAGACAAUUAAUGCGCAAAUGUGCUCCCUUUGAAUCUACGCCUUAAGAUAUCAAUGGCACCUCAAGUGAACAGGUCCCUGAUGCCAACAGUGGCCAUGAACGAGUACCACAAACAUCAAGGAUGCCUAAUGUUGCUGAAAAUACUCAACCUGCUCACGGUACUACUCAUCUAUAUCCUUAGGCUCCUCAAGGCAUUUCUCAAUAUCUUUGUUAAUCUAGAAAAGUAUUGGUUUUGCCAAAAAUGCAUGGAUAUUUUGUACGUGCUGUCUAUCCUCACAGUAUUCUUCUUUACUUGCUUUUCAACUUCUGCCUCCUCCUACACCAUUUCCCUCCAAACUCAGCCGUGAGAACUUCUGCCAUAUUGCUGCUUUGGCACUUGACAAGGGAUGAAAAGGCCAUAUUGCUGCUUUGUAGAAGUUUCCGACUCAUGGUUUUCCUAAAAACAUAUUAAUGGAGAGUUCUACCGAGGGCUGGAUCCUAUAACGUAGUCAAUUGCGAACAAUGCAGCUGAUGGUUGUUUUAUGGAUACUUGAUUUUAAUAGAACGUAAUCUAUUAAGAAAAUGGAGAGUUAGUAGGAUUUUGAAUUUGACAAAUUUCACGUUAUAUUAGAUGUAGAUGUACAAUUUUUUUUUUAUUUUUUUUGCAUAGAUUUCAUCUUUUGACAUUCACUAUCUUAUUAUUUCAGGUCAUACAGUAUGAUGUUCAAAUAGCAUAUGGAAGAUUUCAAUACUAUGAAGAGUUGCUGGAAUUGUUUGAGGACUAUGCAUUUAGAAACUUAUUAUUGUUGGUAUUCGAUAGGAAUUAGUUACAUUGACAUUAGCUAUUUAGUUUAAGCAUGUGAUUUUAUCUUUUAGUUCGUUGAGACAUUAAUAAUUAGUAUUUGCUUUUGUUUCUUUAGAUUUAAUGAAAUGUAUUGUACUUUUAUAAAUUAAUAAUAGUAUGUUUAAUUAGCAUUUUGCAUUAUAAUUGUUGUUAAAUAUGUCUAAUUAUACUUGAUUUUGUAUUUUUUAUUGCAUUUAAGAACGAAUUUAGUGGCCAUUAUAAUUGUCACUAUGCAAUAGUGGUUAAAGCAGGUAACUUCUAGCGGCAAUAAAAAGACGCUAAAAGUAUUGCAUUAGUCAUUUUGAGAAUGAAUAUUGCAUCAAUUAUAAUUGCCGCUACACAAUGACCGUUAAAAUAUGUCCCUUUUAGUGGCAAUUUAAUUGGAUUUAGUGGCAAUUUAGUUAGAUACUAAAAGUUGGACUCAAUUAUUUUGGAAAUGGAUUUAGCGGCCUUUACAAUUGCCGCUGAACAAUUGUCGUUGAAGCCUAUGGCCUUUAGCGGCAAUAAAAACAAUCUUUACCGGCACUCUGCUUAAUUGCCGCUAAAACCUUUAGCGACGCCACAUACAGCGGCAAAAGUCUAAUGGC